rnacentral:rRNA from 1 species
UACGGAGGGUGCAAGCGUUAUCCGGAAUCACUGGGUUUAAAGGGUGCGUAGGCGGCUAAAUAAGUCAGAGGUGAAAGCUUGCAGCUUAACUGCGAAAUUGCCUUUGAUACUGUAUAGCUUGAAAGGAGCUGAGGUCAGCAGAAUGUGGCAUGUAGCGGUGUAAUGCAUAGAUAUGCCAUAGAAUACCAAUUGCGAAGGCAGCUGGCUGGGCUUACAUUGACGCUGAGGCUCGAAAGCGUGGGGAUCGAACAGG